GCAAAACAGAAACACUAACAAGGCUUUUAUCAUUUGCUGGAUAGCAGAAAGAAGAGGUACGUACAGUGAUCCAAGCCACAAUGGAGAGAAACAAAACUGAUCACCGAGACACAAUCAUAGUAGUGCACCAAAAAUGUGAAACCCACUGUACCUUGCCCUCCUGCUGUUGAACAGUGUCAGAUACAGACUCUAAAAACUGAUCAACGGUUGGACAGAGUAUAUGAGCAUUGCUGAGGCUGGAAGGUGGGACAGAAGGUAAGUAACAUUUAAAUAUCCAAUUCAGCUUCCCCAUAUCUCGUCCAUCUGUUCUUCACUGCCAUAGCACCUUUUGCCCCUAGCCCUGCUUCUGCUGAGUGAACUUCUCCAUCACCUGGCCUCUCCCUUACUCUAUUGAUUCUGCAUGGCACUGUCAGCAUGCAGCCUACUGCAGGGUAGCCUCUUGCUGUCACUCUUGACCUCAUGAUGACAUUGUACUGGAUGAAAGAUAGUAAUAGCAGAAGAAGAGGACUCAGCAUGCUUCCUUAUUCCCUCCCCACCUCCACAAUUAUCGGGCAUAGCUCAGAUAUUUUAAAGGAUAGAAAGGGGGAGGGGAGGAAAAAGAAAAGCCUGCUUGUGAUUCACAUAUGCAGUGCUCCCUGGGUGCAGAUGCAAAAGGCCACAGAAGCACAAAUUAUUGCUAUUUGAAAACGCCUACCUGUCCCCUUCAGUGCAGAACCCCAAAGGUGGUGACAGAAAAAUGAAUAUUUCUCAAAGUCUUGAGUGUGGGAAGCAAACAUGAAAUCUUUGUGCUCUUGAUUCAUUUGUGUAUGUGUCUUUCCACCCAGGAAACCGCUUUGUCGAUCGACCCCUUUAUGCAUCACAGUCAAUUCAAGAGCCUGCCAGGGGUGGGGGUGGGGAAUCACAUGGACAGCUUUACGUGGGUGACCCAGAAAGGGAGGGGGGAGUCAUAAUUGUUGCAUUAUGGGAAUUGCUGGUUAAACUCUGCUCAGAAGCAGAUGGGGUAAUCAAAAUUUACACUGCAAGCACAUGCUUUGGACGGUUUGCUUUUAUAAAUGAUGAACAAUCUAUAGCAAUGGCAGAGUUCUUUCUUGCUCACCGCCUUCCCAACUAUAAGCCAAUAAGUUCCUGCUGCUAAAACUUAAUAGUUUAAGGCUCUGAAGUAUAUCUAAGCCAUUUUCUUAUGGAUCAUUACUCUAUGUGUUCUCAUGAACUAAAUGGAAAGAGACCACCCUACUUCAAUUUUCACAAUGUGCACCUCGUGUUAGAAUUCACAAUCUCAUCCAGGUUUACUGAAAAGUAAGCCUCAUUUAGUUUGAUAGGGUGACUUUCAAAUAGGUGUACAAGGGACACUUAAAGUGCAAUGCACCUUUUUUCUGGAAAGCAAGAGGAAGUAUUUCUGUUCUGACUUUAGUAUGCUACAAAUACACAGGACAGUAGCCUACCAACUGCAUGACUAGGGGAAAACUUAUUUACUCUAAGCCAAACAACCAGGAGAUUUAAAUUUUAAAAAAAUCAAGUUAUUUUUAUCAAAGAAAAUACUACCACUUUCAGUUGCUCUAAAACUACACAAAGAGAGAGAAAAGCAAGGAGGAAACAAACAGGAGAAAGGAAAGAACUCUGGUGAUUUGGAAUUGAGUUGCCAACCUGUGGCUUACAGAUACCCACUAAUCAGUCAAAACCAAAAUAUCAGGAUGCUUCACGAAACUGAGGAAUAUUUGAUUCAUUUCAACAAGUGAUGCUGAACCGGAUCAUAGUUAUAUCUUGGGGGGGGGGGAGAUUCCAAACUACUCAAACAGAUUUACCCCCAUAUUGCUAAAUAACUUCUAAAUGAUAAGUUAUAUUGUUCUACACAUAAAAUGGGAUGUUACUGUCACUGAAAAUUCCCCCUCAAUAAAGUUUUAAGUAUUUGUAAGUAUUUGUAAUCUCAACUU